CUCAUUUUUUCGUUCGCGCGACGAAAUGAAACUGCACAAAUAUCACAAAAAUCUACAUAGAUUCGUAAACUACUCCCUUUUCUCCUUCCUCUCUGCAAAAACUAUUAUCAAACUCUUGUCUUUCCGUAGUAAAUUUGCCGUUUAGAUCCAUACACCGCGUGAAGGUAACAAUACUAUUUAGAGAUUAUUGUCUCAAUUGAGAAAUUUUUCGUACUCUUUUGCGAGAAAAACGGAGAGAGCGUCGAUUGCCAUAAUUUUUUUUCUAGCGCGUCUCUUAAUUUUCGCUCUCACUACUUCUCGGAAAAGUAGUGAAAAACGGCGCGAGAAUAAGAAAAUUGUUCAUUAUUGCGACGUAUUAUCGCCACAAUGCCGUGGAGUAAAAGGGAACGCAUUAUUGAAGAUUGCUCUUCCCCUCUUUCAGUUCGCGCAUGCGUUUUCGCGACUCGCUCUCGUCUCGUGUUCGACGAGAGUAUCAUUCACGAUUGGACAAUCGGCCGGCACAUUUGCCAUUUCUAUCUGAGAAACGCUUAGGAUCGCGUAGCAACGACACGCUAGGAUUAUUUCGGUGCUCGACAAACGUUUAGUGAGUAUAUCGUCUCUACGGGAACGAUAAGGAUCGUAAAGCGCGCAACUGGGAGAAAGAAGCGUGUGACAAAACCCGCGAAGAUUCUACGCGUCCUUUUACCGCCUUCCACUAAGCUUUUACGACUCGCGAACACUGGUCCCUCCUAGUAAAUUUCCUUAGCCAUGUUUUCCCGCGAAACGCCUGCGCGCAAACAGCCCGCACGUGUACGCGCGCCGCAAGGAAAUCCCGUGAAACAUUCAGAGAGCCUUGUAAAACUAUCGCCAAGUCGAAGUAUCAUUUUCGCGUAUCUCAUCCCCUACCUCCGCGGUUCGCGAAACUCGGGCAGUCCCAACUGUCGGUACGCUGUUUCCGCUAUAAGUUAUCGGGGCGCGCGAUAUACAACGCCGUGCACGCAUCCUCGCGAGGAAAUCUCGAUAUUUCAUAAGCGCCCUCACAAACCCGACAGAAUAAGAAUUCGCGAAUCCCGCCUCGGGUAAAGACGAGUCGAGGCGAACACAGACCAGUUUGGCGAAACAAACGAAUUAUUUUUGCCCCGUAAGAACUGCGCAAAGAUGUUGAUAGUGAAUCAUUUCUUAAGCUUAAGAUCGAGAAAAUGUCACGAUGCAACAGAUCGUCGAUGUUAUUAUCCUCUCAUGAAACAAUUACUUGCUAUUAACAUUCUUAUUGGCCAAAAUAAAUUCGCAGUGAUUGAAUAGCCUGAAUACAAUUUCGUUUAAUUGUGCACGACUCGUGCAUUCGACAUUGCACACAGCGGCUUCCACGGAUUUCCGCUGAAAUUCCCCGGGAAAACUAAUUCGCGUUCAGCGUUAAGGAGUUUGUUCAUCAGGUACGUAUUCUUAGGACGCUCAAGAGGUGUAUUUUCAGCGGCGCAUUAAGGGAGCUACUCGUGAAUUUAUUACUUGUCGAACAAAAUUACGCUUUUAUAUAUCUCUCUCACUAUUUAAAAAUGAUAAAUUCAAACGGUGCAGACAAGUCGCGUAAAACAUUCAGUUACGAAUGUGUUCGAUAGAUGUUACGUUAAAUUUACAUGUAAAAUUAUUAAACUACUAACUUAUUAACUACUAAAUUAUUAACAAUUAUUAAAUUUACAUGUACAAAGCAUUUUGGUUGAAUAAACUCCUAAAGUCGGCGCGACCCGUUUACAGGUGGCGGGCUCUGAUAAAACUUUUCGGGACGACCAUUGCAUGACGGUCGUGUGCAACGUCGUUCAGCCACGCGUGCGGAGAAGUACACGUUGCACGCGUGAUGGCGCAUACACAAAACGGGACGGUCCAGUGAUGUAUGCCUCUCUUCGGGGCGCGCUUCACAGCUAGCGCUAUGCGCUAGCUGUGUUAGACGAAGCUCCGCCGAUGCACUACGUGCAUCUCGUAAUAUCUCAGCAUCAUCCACCCUUCCUUCCUGCCUCGCUCCCAUACUAUAGCCAGGCAUGCCCGCCUGCCUGCAUCCACCCUCUGUCCUUCCGAGAACCUAGCUACAUACUCACAGAGUACAACCUACUCUCUGAGUCUACGAACAGCGAACGCGUGGGCGUGCAUCGAUACGUCGAUUCCGUGAACAUACGUUCGUUCUUCUGGCCGGAUAAGUCGAUUGCUGUUACCGGAUGCGUGCGAACCAUUGGCCCCGCAGCAAGUCAACAAACGAAAGAAUGCGAACGAUGGAACGCGACGCGCGUGUACACAUCAGGACGCUUCGGUGCGCUCCAGCAAGGGGCGGGAGGUAUUGUGUACUUUUUUGUGUACUUCCCGUUACACGCGGAAGAUACUUGAAGUACGCGCGUCGUGCGUCUGUCGUCAGUUUGGCCUGUAUCCUUAAACUUUUAUUAUCGACGAUCUCGUGCGCGCUUUAUAAUUCGUCAUCCCUCCCUGCGAUCGAUCGUGAAACGUUGACGCGAGAGGCAGGGCACGAAAUAAUCCUGAGCUGUCCCGAAAUAAAUCGCGGCACGCGGACGGAUCCGGCUGAGGAUUUAUCAAAAGUCACCCUCUCCGCGUCGCGAAAUCCCUAAGACGGCAAUCCGACCAGUCGAUUCGCUCGCUUAUCGUUCGAUCAUGGCGAUGUAGCGAUAAAACCGGUUACGAAUAGACAUCGGCGAUUAUAAAAAGAGCAACAAUAGCCAAACACGAAACUGUGGAAGUGGCGGAGAGGGAGAGAGGGGGAGAGAGAGAAAGGGAGACGGAGAUCGUCGGGAGUAGGCGUACCGGAGUCAAUACCGAAUCGAUAAAUUGCGAUGCUACUUUGAGUCACCCUCAGAGCUCUCUUACGGAGCUCCUAGCCAGCUCGAUUUAUACGAUACGGAGGAAUGAUUGUUCACUGCAACGGCCGCAUCACGAUGAUCGAUCGUUGAUGUUUCGCGAAUAUCGAUAGUCCCGUACGCGGCGUUUUUAACACGCUCGCGAUUCUCUCGCGUGAUCUCGCAAGUACGGAGUCGCAAGGGCUUGCAAAAGUCUGGAGAAAAGUUCUUGGUACGGUUUGACGCAAGUUUCUAUUCAAAAAAGCACGAAGCGUUAAUUAUUAUUUGUUACUAGACUCAUCUCGAGUCUUUCCACGAAGGACUCGCGCGCGACCGUUGCUUUCAAAAGUCGAAUACUCUUUGGUUCUUCGCGGAAAUUGCGAAAUAAAAUUGCGUUAUUCUUUUUUUCUCUUUGUACAGCGACCACGAUUUUUACUUGACGAAAUUAAAAACUACGCAACUCUCAAAUACACGCGCACAGACACGUAUAUGCGCACAUAGACAAGGAGCAGCCCGCGACCGAAAAUGUUUUUCGCAAUAUCACAAGCUUACCGAAAGCGCGGAUGCAUGUGCUUGCUGCAUGCGACGUAAAUGCAGAUGCGAGUGCUGUAAAGCCACGCUUUGAUGGCCUGUACUAUGCUAAAGCCUCGCAAAUAUUGCCGCGAUAUCACUGUCGGGCUUUACGGUAAUAAUUCAAUAAGGAAGUGGAUUGAUGGCUCAGCGAAAAAUCUCGUGGAGAAGAGGAACGACGCGCCUCCACGAAACAUCUUCGUCGUAAUCGCAAGAAACACGCCAAUUUAAUCGGAAUUUCACACUUUUUCUCGGCUUUCUCUUCUUGUUUCUUCAAUGAUCUCUCGGGAGAACGUGGCGUUUUGCAUCGGCAGCGACAUCAACGCCGCAUUGUAUCGCACAAAACGCGUGUACUCGCGCGCGCGCGUUCUUUUUUCCCUUCCCUUCCCUUAUCCCGCACGGUUGUGCGUAUAUUCGCGAGAAAUGGUGGCGUCAGGUACUGGAUUUGGUGGCCGGUGUGUGGUACCUUCCGUUCUCCUCACUCUCUCUCUCUCUCUCUUCCUCUCUCUGUGCGCGCCUUCACGGCGCGGCGCAUAAUACGCGACGUGAUUCUUCGUUUUAUACUUGGAGCGGUUAGGCCCCUUCGGAUGCAGCUUCCUUCCCGAAUUUAUCGCCCGUCCGAAUCGCGGACGAGUCCAUAUAACCCGUUCAUGAUCUUGGUUCCCACCUAGCCGGUGCAAAACCUGUGCGCUCGCGCUCACGCUUUCAUUCUUGUAUAAAUCUCAUUGAAGGCAAUAUAUUGCACGGUAUUCCUUUGGCCCGCUCGGCUCAUAUCGGCCAUUGAAAUUUAUUUCGCUGACCAGACGCGGGUAAGCGAGAUGAAUCGUUGCCGUUGCCGCCUUUUAAUUUCGUCCCUUAUCGUUAUUAUUGAACGCGCGCGCGCGCACGCGAAAUAUCUACAGCAUGUUCUCCCCCGUUAUCCUCGUUCUUCUUAGAUACUAGUCAUAAUUAUAGUUCCGGGAUAUUUCGCAUAUGUAAUGACGUAAAACACGUUAGCAUCUCGGUUAAGAUUGAAGCUCGAGACGUUAACAUCUACCGGUGAAUACUCCAAUAAGUUCUCUUCUCACACAUGACGCCUGCUUUUGAUAUAUAGUUAUAAUAUGAACCAACGAAGAACCAACGAUUAAAGAGAUUAAAAUACGUGACAAGAACAGAGCAGCUCUCUCUCUCUUAAAAAUUCACAUCGUUUCAAGGUGAAAUCUAAUUGCGAAGUUUUCAUCAGGUGAUUUUGAUAUAUAUAAUUAUAAUCUGUUAACUUUCGAUUAGAGAUAUGAAGACACACAUGACACACACAUCCAGUGGCUCCUAAAAAUUAAAAUCGUUUCCGAAAAUAAUUUCGCGUAGCUAGAUUAUCGCAUAGUACGUAUAUCACGAUGAGAUUUAAUUGCGAAGUCCGCAAAGAUCCUCGCAAUAUUUCACGAGAGGCGCGGACAGAAACGAACGUGUCGCGGAACGGAAGGGUGAGGGGGCGAGACGAGCGGGAGUUGUAUCUAAUGUUCCUUGACGUAACUUUGCGUCUCCUGCAGGCGAAACGACACCGCGGAAAGAGUUUCUGGUACAGGCUCGUGAAACAAUAGGCAUAACUUCCAACACGGUUGACACGCCGGUUACCGCAAGCCGAAAGCGGCUAAUACGGCAAGUUAUCCACUUAGAAAUCCAACGUAACACCGAGGAAGAGAAGAGUUCUAGGGGGCGGGCGGGGUCGGAGAGGCCGGGAGGCCGUUACCAACUUCGGAUAAACCGGGCUAAGUUUCCUGGCUCUUACGGAAGUGCCACCCGAAAACGACCGAGUUUAUUCUUCCCGCACGCAACGACAGAGAAAUAUCGUGGGCAUCGAUUUACAUAACGAUUAAGUUAAUUAAGCGCUUAAACGUGUUGUUUGCCCUGGAACUCUCUGGGAAAGUAAUGUAUCUUCGGGAGCUACUGAUUCUCGUACUUUCGUGGCGGAAGAAUGUUUCCGCAAGAUAAAUAUGUAUCAGGGCCACGCGCGAGACGCGAAUAAAGGGAAGAGUGGUGGAUUUUUGCAAUCGUGCCUUACUCCUAUUCGAUUUUUGUCACGCUAUAAAUAUGUACCGACGAUAUUCGGCGAUUCAACAAGAUCCAACAUUGGGUUUUGUUAGUCCGCGAGAAUAUCCGCGAUGAGUGGAUACGUGGAUUGUUGAGUAAUUUUGAAACAUCAAUUUAUCAAGCACGGAGGUGAGAAUAUUUUCACGAUAUUCCAUGUUGUGGACUUGAACGGACAAUUCACGUCGCAUUAAAACGGUCGACCGUUGAUAUUUUAUCGAAAAAAUAUUGGACCUGGUCUCGAGGAUUUGAGAUAUCUCGGUGUACACCCGACUUCCGAAGAUAAGAUACUCGUCCUCUAUCAAGGUCGCAGCGCCAAAGUGAACGCUGGCAAUUUUCGCGGGAUUAUCCCGGGAAUCUCUUUGCGGGAGUUAGUCUACUACGAAACUAUAAAAGAAUUCUUACGUAACACCCCGCCAUUCUUCAACUUAUCUCACCCACUUACCUCGUACAACACCGACUACACUCGGCGUGAGCAUUCCUCUCCCUCGAAUUAAGAACACUCAUACGUCACGACCAGAAUAUCGUGCACUUACCUUACGUGUCUCCGAGCGAUGUCAUUCACUCUUUUAUUAUAUUUUAUAUACGAAUGGAUCACGAGUCGCGGAAAAAAAAUUCGAAGGGUGUCUUCGACGUCUCUUGGGAGCGUGACUUUCUUCGAGGCAAACACAUUUCCGGGGUGUUCCGUAACGAAAAUGUGAAGGGUGGGCGAUGCGGGAGGAGAAAUAGUGUAUGCAGACGCGGGCCAAUAUCAAAAGUUCGCUUCCGUUGGGGCCCGUGGAAAGGAGGCGGUGACACGGCUGCGUCAAGCUCCAGGCGCAUCUCUCCUUCCAGAGUUAGAAGUUCAGCAUAUCCUUAACACCGACAAUCAGUGCAGACGACAACGCAAUGAGUAGAAGUGGCAUAAAAAUGAUAAAAAUCACGAUUCGAGUAUUGUUUACGUGUAUAUUUGCCGCAAAGCGACGAUUGCCAUCACGAUUCUUUAUGUAACGGGUGCAAAGUACGUAGAUCGGUAAAAUAAGCGCGUUAAGAUAACGUUCACGUUAUUAAAAAUAAUAUACAUGUAGCGUAUAUUUUAUAUACACACAUUAUACUGUAUCACAUAUA